UAAAGUAAUCCUACACAUAAAAAAUAAAUAGUUUUUUCAACUGCAUGCCAGAGUAACUGGAGAGACUUUGACAGCCCAGGCCAGCACAGUGCCUGCAGCUGCCACUCAGCUUUCCUAUACAC